AGCUUUGCGCAGUGGCAGUAUCGUAGCCAAUGAGGUUUAUCCGAGGCACGAUUAUUGCUAAUUGUAAACUUUUCCCAACAAUGUUUUUAUCCAGCCUCUUAAAACAUCCUAUUCUUUGCUUGUAACUUAUAUUGUUAUAUCAAAUUUCAGUAUUUCUAUUUUAGC
ensembl:snRNA U4 U4 spliceosomal RNA